rnacentral:rRNA from 1 species
CCCUUAGAUGUUCUGGGCCGCACGCGCGCUACACUGACGAAGUCAGCGAGCAUGUCCUACGCCGACAGGUGCGGGGAAUCUUGUCAAACUUCGUCGUGAUGGGGAUUGAUUAUUGAAAUUCUUGAUCAUCAACGAGGAAUUCCUAGUAAGCGCAAGUCAGCAGCUUGCGUUGAUUACGUCCCUGCCCUUUGUACACACCGCCCGUCGCUACUACCGAUUGAAUGGUUUAGUGAGAUCUUCGGAUUGGCGCCACUGCGGCUCAGCAAAGGGCUCGGUGGAUGCCGAAAAGUUGAUCAAACUUGAUCAUUUAGAGGAAGUAAAAGUCGUAACA